rnacentral:tRNA from 1 species
UCCCUGCUGGUCCAGUAGCUAAGACUCUGCAUUCCCAAAGCAGGGGACCUGGUUCAAUCCCAGGUCAGGGAA